rnacentral:rRNA from 1 species
UAGGGAAUCUUCGGCAAUGGACGAAAGUCUGACCGAGCAACGCCGCGUGAGUGAAGAAGGUUUUCGGAUCGUAAAACUCUGUUGUUAGAGAAGAACAAGGACGUUAGUAACUGAACGUCCCCUGACGGUAUCUAACCAGAAAGCCACGGCUAACUACGUGCCAGCAGCCGCGGUAAUACGUAGGUGGCAAGCGUUGUCCGGAUUUAUUGGGCGUAAAGCGAGCGCAGGCGGUUUCUUAAGUCUGAUGUGAAAGCCCCCGGCUCAACCGGGGAGGGUCAUUGGAAACUGGGAGACUUGAGUGCAGAAGAGGAGAGUGGAAUUCCAUGUGUAGCGGUGAAAUGCGUAGAUAUAUGGCGGAACACCAGUGGCUAAGGCGGCUCUCUGGUCUGUAACUGACGCUGAGGCUCGAAAGCGUGGGGAGCAAACAGG